rnacentral:rRNA from 1 species
ACGGGUGAGUAACGCGUGGUCAACCUACCGUUGAGUGGGGGAUAACUAGCCGAAAGGUUAGCUAAUACCGCAUACGAGUCUCGGGGGCAUCCCUGGGCCUUAAAAGGAGCAAUCCGCUCGAUGACGGGACCGCGUCCCAUUAGCUAGAUGGUGGGGUAACGGCCUACCAUGGCUCCGAUGGGUAGCUGGUUUGAGAGAGCGACCAGCCACACUGGGACUGAGAAACGGCCCAGACUCCUACGGGAGGCAGCAGUGAGGAAUUUUCCGCAAUGGGCGAAAGCCUGACGGAGCGACGCCGCGUGUGGGAAGAAGGCCUUCGGGUCGUAAACCACUGUCGAAGGGGACGAUAAUGACGGUACCCUUGGAGGAAGCCCCGGCUAACUACGUGCCAGCAGCCGCGG